rnacentral:rRNA from 2 species
CUAACGUGGACCCGUUACCCGGGUUGCGGACAGUGUCUGGUGGGUAGUUUGACUGGGGCGGUCUCCUCCUAAAGAGUAACGGAGGAGCACGAAGGUUGGCUAAUCCUGGUCGGACAUCAGGAGGUUAGUGCAAUGGCAUAAGCCAGCUUGACUGCGAGCGUGACGGCGCGAGCAGGUGCGAAAGCAGGUCAUAGUGAUCCGGUGGUUCUGAAUGGAAGGGCCAUCGCUCAACGGAUAAAAGGUACUCCGGGGAUAACAGGCUGAUACCGCCCAAGAGUUCAUAUCGACGGCGGUGUUUGGCACCUCGAUGUCGGCUCAUCACAUCCUGGGGCUGAAGUAGGUCCCAAGGGUAUGGCUGUUCGCCAUUUAAAGUGGUACGCGAGCUGGGUUUAGAACGUCGUGAGACAGUUCGGUCCCUAUCUGCCGUGGGCGCUGGAGAACUGAGGGGGGCUGCUCCUAGUACGAGAGGACCGGAGUGGACGCAUCACUGGUGUUCGGGUUGUCAUGCCAAUGGCACUGCCCGGUAGCUAAAUGCGGAAGAGAUAAGUGCUGAAAGCAUCUAAGCACGAAACUUGCCCCGA